GCCUUGGUGGUGAAAUGGUAGACACGCGAGACUCAAAAUCUCGUGCUAAAGAGCGUGGAGGUUCGAGUCCCGAAUCGAUAU
rnacentral:tRNA from 1 species